ACAUGUAAACACGACCUUGUAUAUUACUUCCGUGUUGAGCUACCCGGUCACACACGACGACUGUAGCAACAAUUUGUGUCUGGCAACUUGAAACCUCAGCAGGUUCACCGAGGUGCCAGACAACAAGCAUGGUGAAGAUAGCUGCUGUUUCUAUAAUAUAUGCGAUUGCAGGUGUUGUGUCAGGGGCCCCCAGUGCCCGUCCAGUGUUGUCUGCAGUGUCUGACACAGCCAGGUUCAGCUGGGAGAUUCCACAGGGAGGUCUGGGGUCAGGUCUCAGUUUCUACACUGUCACUCCUGCUGGUGCUGCUGUGUUCAUAGUGGCAAGUACUGGGACAGUUGUUGUCUUGUCCAACUACAGAGGCAGACUGGUGUACCACGGGAACAUAGCAGCCAGGAAUGUCA